rnacentral:rRNA from 1 species
GGACCUGAUGCAGCCAUGCCGCGUGUGUGAAGAAGGCCUUCGGGUUGUAAAGCACUUUCAGUUGUGAGGAAAAGUUAGUAGUUAAUACCUGCUAGCCGUGACGUUAACAACAGAAGAAGCACCGGCUAACUCCGUGCCAGCAGCCGCGGUAAUACGGAGGGUGCGAGCGUUAAUCGGAAUUACUGGGCGUAAAGCGCACGCAGGCGGUUUGUUAAGCUAGAUGUGAAAGCCCCGGGCUCAACCUGGGAUGGUCAUUUAGAACUGGCAGACUAGAGUCUUGGAGAGGGGAGUGGAAUUCCAGGUGUAGCGGUGAAAUGCGUAGAUAUCUGGAGGAACAUCAGUGGCGAAGGCGACUCCCUGGCCAAAGACUGACGCUCAUGUGCGAAAGUGUGGGUAGCGAACAGGAUUAGAUACCCUGGUAGUCCACACCGUAAACGCUGUCUACUAGCUGUGUGUGUCUUUAAGACGUGCGUAGCGAAGCUAACGCGCUAAGUAGACCGCCUGGGGAGUACGGCCGCAAGGUUAAAACUCAAAUG